rnacentral:lncRNA from 1 species
CGGGGUGCCAGCAUGGUUGGGUUCUGGUAGUAAUGUGAGGCCAUGUGAGGCCAUUAUCUCUUCCUGGCCUUCUUUGGUGCAUGCACACAGAAAGGCCUCUGUCUCCUCCUCAUUUGGUAUGGGCAUUAAUCCCAUCACGAGGCUCUGCCCUUGAAUGCAACCUAAUUACUUCCCAAAGUCCCCAUCUCCAAAUAGCAUCACAUUGGAGAUUAGAAUUUCAGCAUCUGAAUUUUGAGGAGACACAAACAUUCUGCCCAUAGCAUCCUAAUUCUGGAGAUGUUGUCUGGAGGCAGUGGGGUUGGGAGAAGGGCCGGUCCUGGAAAGUGAGUCUGCAGCCCAGACCCACCAACCCACAACUGCCACAGUCAGGGGUAGGGUUUUUGUUCUGAUGACAUUGACAGUAUUCAGAAAUGCCCAAAGUAUCAGUCAGGCCCUGGCAUGAGAAUUGAUAAAGAAUUCCAUAAAGGAUUAGGCAAAAGCUGGAGGUGAGAGAAAAUGCCAAAAUCACAUUUCUCAGCCUUCCUGGAAGUGAAGGAACUGGAGUCUCAUUGGGGGGGAAGUAUGAGGCUGAAGGGUGUUGUGUCCACAGGUUCAUUCCAUUCAUGAAAAAGAGAUCCCUUGCUGGGGCAUCUUAAUGUCAGAAGCUUCAUUUGACAAGCAAAGAAAACACAUACAGGACGUCUCUGUAACCUGUAAAUGUGCGUAUAAAACACAGGGCAAUGGCUGUUUGAAGAGGGAGCAGAAAGCCCAUUGUGGCUCUUUGGAUAACUGAAGAAACAAGUGUGCAAAAGUUUCUUUCACCGAAACCAGGACCAUCCCCGCAAAUGUGAGGCUCACAUAUGGGCUGUGGCAAGUAUGUGAAUUUAUUUAUGAAUGACUGCAGGCAUAAGUAUAUAAAAAAGGCAAUUGACACAAUCUUUCUUCAACCCAUGUGCCAAGUCAGUGUUCUGCUUGUUUGAAAGGUUAGUCUCAGUGAGAACUUUAAAAAGGUUAUUUGGAGAAACAAAGAAAAAUGGGGUGGUGGGAGGGGCUGCCAACAUCCAUCGGAGAUUAAGCAAUUUCUCUCCUUUUCUGGCAUUGGCCUCAGAAAAGCCAGCGUUGGUCAUCAGACUACUUCGUGCAGAAUCUGAAGCUAUGUUGAGCUGUUAGUGACUGCUAAUCGGAUCCUAGGAUGUGUUUUUUCUUUUCUAUGCCAGCCCAACCAUUAAACUGUGGAGAAGGAAGGUGGAGAGUGCCUGUAUAUGGAAAGAAGAAAAGCUAACUUCAUGGCUUUCUUGUAUUAACUGAGGCUUCCAGUUUAUAAAUGGAGAAAGAAUGAUGGAACCAGAUCAUUAUCAUUUUGCAACAGCUGAUAAAAUAGUGGGCACAGACAACAACAGUUAAUGGCUACUGACAUCACAAAGAGACUAUCAGACAUUAUAGGCUUCCUUUUGGAAUAUACAACACCAGCACGAAAUAUUUCUGCCAAAUAAUCUAACCUCAUUGUAUUCAAGUCUCUGCUCCUUACAGAAGCUCUCUCUUUAUCUAAACUGGGAGGCAGCUGGGAAUUUGGAUUGAAGAGGAGGGCUGGGAGGGCGAGAGAGGGGUGAGAGAGGAAACAAGAUUAACUUCAGAAUUUGAAGGACAAUU